rnacentral:rRNA from 1 species
UACGUAGGGGGCAAGCGUUGUCCGGAAUCAUUGGGCGUAAAGCGCGUGUAGGCGGUCCGGUAAGUCCGCUGUGAAAGUCGGGGGCUCAACCCUCGGAUGCCGGUGGAUACUGUCGGGCUUGAGUACGGAAGAGGCGAGUGGAAUUCCUGGUGUAGCGGUGAAAUGCGCAGAUAUCAGGAGGAACACCAAUUGCGAAGGCAGCUCGCUGGGACGUUACUGACGCUGAGACGCGAAAGCGUGGGGAGCAAGCAGG